GACGAACGCUGGCGGCGUGCUUAACACAUGCAAGUCGAACGGUAAGGCCCUUCGGGGUACACGAGUGGCGAACGGGUGAGUAACACGUGGGUGAUCUGCCCUGCACUUCGGGAUAAGCCUGGGAAACUGGGUCUAAUACCGGAUAGGACCACUGCCUGCAUGGGUGGUGGUGGAAAGCUUUUGCGGUGUGGGAUGGGCUCGCGGCCUAUCAGCUUGUUGGUGGGGUGAUGGCCUGCCAAGGCGACGACGGGUAGCCGGCCUGAGAGGGGGACCGGCCACACUGGGACUGAGAUACGGCCCAGACUCCUACGGGAGGCAGCAGUGGGGAAUAUUGCACAAUGGGCGCAAGCCUGAUGCAGCGACGCCGCGUGAGGGAUGACGGCCUUCGGGUUGUAAACCUCUUUCAGCACCGACGAAGCGCAAGUGACGGUAGGUGCAGAAGAAGGACCGGCCAACUACGUGCCAGCAGCCGCCGUAA
rnacentral:rRNA from 1 species